UACGGGGGGGGUAAGCGUGUUCGGAAUUACUGGGCGUAAAGGGCUCGUAGGCGGCCAACUAAGUCAGACGUGAAAUCCCCAGGCUCAACCUGGGAACUGCGUCUGAUACUGGAUGGCUUGAAUCCGGGAGAGGGAUGCAGAAUUCCAGGUGUAGCGGUGAAAUGCGUAGAUAUCUGGAGGAAUACCGGUGGCGAAGGCGGCAUCCUGGACCGGCAUUGACGCUGAGGAGCGAAAGCCAGGGGAGCAAACGGG
rnacentral:rRNA from 1 species